rnacentral:lncRNA from 1 species
UCAAAUUAGUUCUCUCUAAAGCUUCCCUUUAAUUUACGGUUUUAAACCUUCUCUAGUUCUAGUUUGUGAGUAAAUUGCGAGAGACCAAAAAUGAGUGUGGAGAUUUUGGAUGGUGCCACCAUUGUCAACUUUCUAGAGGACGAGGAAGCAUUCAACGCGCAAAUAUGUGACCGCUUCGCCCACCUUGAUUCAGACCAUGAUGGCCGGCUUUCCUACGGGGAAAUGUUGAAGGAGCUGCAGUGUUUGAGGUUAUUGGAAACCCACUUCGGCGUGGAUGUGGAAACAGACCCGGAUGAGCUUGCUCUCGUCUAUGAUUCUCUUUUUGUCCAAUUUGAUCAUGACUUGAAUGGGACAGUGGACUUGGAAGAGUUCAAGUCAGAGACCAAGCAAAUGAUGCUAGCCAUGGCCAGUGGUAUGGGUUUCUUGCCUGUUCAGAUGGUCCUGGAAGAAGACAGUUUCCUGAAGAAGGCUGUGGAGUGGGAAUCUGCUAAACUCGUUGCCUGAUUAAUUUCACAUCCAUUACCCUAUACAUGACUCAUUAAUUGUCUUUGUUAUUUCUUUCUUCUCCGAAUGCAUUCCAAGUUUAGCUGAAUGUAGCAAAGAAAAUAAAUGAAAUGCUCUGUUAUUGGUGAAGGUGCAAUUUGGUAUCUUAAAACUUGGUUCUCUCCUCAUGCAAUUUGGUCAUGACCAUCCAGCCAUAGUUAAUAUAACAAAAGGGAAUGGAAUUGGUAGAACAGAGUUGAAUCAAAAUGGGAAAAGAACUUGCGUGUGUCACGUCCAGGGGAACAGAUAAAAAUUAAAGAAAUACUGUCCUAAUAUAAAGUCCAGUUAAAUAAAAACUUGCAGGCGAAUCUGCCGUGCAAUUUAACUAGAUUUUGCGCUCUAAACACCUAAUUCCAUCAUGAUUUGUUUAGCAUGCGUAUGAAACAAACUUCCCACAUUGGAUCACAAAAACAAUGACAUCUCAGGAGAUGGAAUGAAAGAGAGAAUGCUUUCACCAAACAGCUCAAACAGGGAUACCAGAAGAUGCUCAUUAUUCAAGUCUUCAUUCAAACCUUGUUGAGAAUGUGAUGCGGAACAAUAAAUCAAAAAUAAAAAUAAAAAAUUAAAGUAGUAAAGAAUGAAGCUUUACAGAAAUAAGUUAAGAAUUAAAAGUAAAGCAAGGGAAAAGCCAGGGGAAAAAAAAAGAAUUGAAGAAGAAAAGUCUAUCAUUAUUAUUUAAUCAUAAAAAACUCUCCCAAAAAGUGAAAGAGAAACAUAUAAAUAGCAUAACCUUACAAUAUCCACUUAUUGGGUUCAACUCAUCAAUUAAAAUUUUCUAACAUAAAUAAGUCAAAUUAAUAAAAUAAAACAAUGAAAUAGGCCCAAAUGAGCUCAGUCUCCCAACCAAAAAGUGACAGGCUAGGUCAUUUUAUGUCGUCUUUGUCUAUAUACUCGUGUAAUUUGUGGUGUAAGUCUAAAGUCCCCACCAACUCUCCUAAUGUAGCUCUGGGUGACCUUGAUAACACUCCCAAAGUUCUGGAUCAAUCUGCUACAAAGUAUCUAUGGUGAUCUAAGUACAAUUUGAAUCAGGUCGGCCAACCCAAGAGUUAGAAACAGUUGAACCUCACUAUUCCAAGUAAAAAAAAACUUGUUCAUCCAAAAUGACAUCAAUAUUAUCCUUUUGUGUUCAGAUCAAGGUCAAAGGGGUAGAGGUUUCAAUAGGAUCAUCAAGAGGAGAGUUAGGUGGCAUCUCAAAUGGAUCAUUUGGAAUAGGAUGUUGUUUCUGGUAUGCAACUAAAUCCGCAGUGCUAAAUGUAAAGUUAAUGCCAAAAUCAAGUGGUAAAUCAAGAACAUAAACAUUUGGACCAACUCCUUGUAGCACUUUGAAUGGCCCUGCACUACGUGCAUGCAAUUUUCGAUUAGUUCCUGAAGGAAACUACUUGUGUCUAUUCCAUAUAAUAACUUAGUCUCCCACAUUAAAUUUAUUAUAUCAUCUAUGUAAAUAAGCUCAGAGUUUAUAUUGUGCAUUACUUGCUUGAAUUUGCUUAGUGAUCUAAAUAUGCAAAUUCUAAAUUUUACGUGUAAAAAACUUUGUUAACUCAAACACCUUAGUAUGAAGAGAUAUGGGAAGAAGGUUUAAAGGUUUCCUAGGCUUGUAACCAUGUACAACUUCAAAGGGACUCAUGCAAAUUGACCUAUUGACAGAACUCUUAUAUGCAAACUAGGUCAUAGGAAGAACCAAAUCCCAAUUCCUAUUAUGAUAACUCACUAGACACCUCAGAAAGUUGCCUAAUCUGGGUGGUAGGCACUAGAAAACUUCAACUGAGUUCCCACUAUAUGGCGAAGGGUUUUCUAGAAAUAACUCAUAAAUCUAACAUCCUUAUCUAAGACUAUGGUUUGGGGGAAAUCGUACAACUUGACAAUCUCGUUAAAAUAGAGUUCCGCAACUCUAGAAGCAUUUGUGAUCUUAGUACAAAAGAUAAAAUAGGUCAUCUUAGAGAAACAGUCGAAAACCAUAAAAAAGAAUCAUGCUUCUUUGCAGUACGUAGAAGCCCAAUCACAAAAUUCAUACUUACAUUUUGCCAAGGGCAAGUAGGAAAAGGUAACGGGGUGUAAAUACCAAUAUUUUGUUUUUUAUGCUUUGCUAGUUGACAUGUUCAACAUUGACCUCCCAACUUAGCUACAUCUCUUUCAAACUAGACAAAAAAAAUUGAUGUUCCCCCUCUUAAAUGGGUUUAUUUCUUCUAAAGUGUUCUGAAAGACCUCCAAUAUGAAUCUCCCAUACAAACUCCAGCAAGUUUAAAAUUAAAAUCCUACUACAACUUAGAAAAAACAUAGGCGGCUAUCUUUCCUUUAGUUUCAAGGAUAUCUUGGUCACUUUUACUUUUUCAUUACUUCAUAAUCUUCAGAGUAUGAUACCUUAUAGCUUCACGGUUACAAGUCAUUUCCUCAUUACUUUGGGUCUUUAAUGGGUUGUAUGGAAGACUAUAAAUAAGCCUUGAAUCAAUUCUGUAAUAUUUUCUUUCCUUCUCUUCUUCUCAUGGUAAAACAAAGAUUUAAUAUUAUGGGUUUUAUUUUAUUUUGUUUAUGCUUAAUUAAUAUAUUUUUUUCAGCUAGGAUCUAAGGCUUGUUUGGAUCAGGGUUUGGGCUUACUAGUAAAGGUUUUGAGUAAGUUUUUAUAUGUGGGUUAGUUUAGCCCACAAGGGUGGAUCCAUUUGGGUUAAUUUCUUAGAACAAUUUAAACACAUAUAAGCCUAAAUUUCACCAGCGAUUGAUAAAUAAUACUUGUGAAUUUUUUAAUUUUAACAUGUGAGAGAAAUUCUUGUAUUCUAUGGUUCUUAAACGAACUGAAUAUGACUUCUCAAAGUUUAAUUGGCUUCAUGACGUCAUUCGACAUCAUUCCAAUAAUGUUGGUGUCUCAGGAUAGGUUUUUAUUGUGUCACACUUCUAUUAGAUCAAUUUUGGCUUUUUAGGAUCAAAUUUUAAUCUUGAAUGUGGGUUGUGUGACCAUGUAUUCACGAGGUUCACAUCAGUGUUCAAGAGAUGCUAAUAAAUAUCUUUGAGUGGUAAAGGUAUGUCAAUAUUUGAUAAGGGCACUUGAGCAUCCAAUGACAUAGUGAGAUCCAAUUGGACAAGACUCCCAAUCUGAGAGCCAUUUCCCAAUUCAUAUUCUAUCAUACUUUAGAGUUCAUAUAUGGGGUUUCCUCGAAGGUGAUCCAUCCUACCUCAAUAAGCUAGAGGAGCUUGUCUUUAAAAGCAUAACAACUUUCAAUGUUAUGACCACUAGUGCCAUCAUGAUACUCGUAUGUCUAGUUAGUAUUAUACCAUUUUAGAUAUGGGGGUUGAAAUGGUUUCUAGAUAAUCAAAAUAAUUUGUCCAAUAUUGACCAAUCUUUCAAAUAUCUCUUUAAAAGAUAAAGGAAAGAGCGAUAUAGUUUUCUUUAACUAUUGUGACUUUUCAUAUAUUUUCUUAUUAGAUGGAACCUGAUUAGUCAUUUGAGGAGAAUGAUUAGGAUGCUAAGAUAUAGAAUGAUCUUGAUUCAUACUUCUCAUAUAGGAGUUAUCUUUUUAUUUGUCAAACGACAUAGCAUUAAACCUCUCUUCUUUAUUCCAGAUCCUUCUCAAUUUCAAUCCUUGCUCCACACUCUCUACUGUCGUUUUUAUCUCUAUUAAAUAAGCUCAUGAAUUACAAGUUAUGUAAUCACAAUAAGGAGUCUUUGAAGUAUUGAUGAAGAUGGAAUUGAGCUCAUUUUAUAGUAGUGGAGCGUAAACUUGGGUUGUCAUUUGUCGCAGCCUCAUCGCAUAUUCCUUGACUGACUCAUCAUUUCUCAUCUCAAUUCUUUGAAGGUCUAACCUGGUUAGAGCCAUCUUUAAGUUGAAUCCAAAUUGUUGCAGAAAUGCAUCAACCAAGUAUUCUUAUUUCUUCUUUUCAGAGCCAUUUAAAUCCAAGUUGGGUUUUAAAAUUAUGAUAAUAAUCAUUUUUAUCCUUACAUGUCUUAGUUGUAUAAUUUUAAAAUUAAGAGUUUUUUACAAGAAUAUUUUAGAGAAAAAAAAUAACAAAUAUUUUUUCUAGAGACAUGUCCUCUCUAUACCUUCUAUUUUGGAAGUAUAGACAUUCACUCCAAAAUUAUCCGAGGGACAUAUUUAUUUUUAUAUCUUUGUCUCUUCAACCAAAUAUAUUUAUGUCUUCAUUGUCUUCAUCUCUUUUGUUUCAGGACAGUAACCAAACACUAUUUAAUAUACACUAUUUAAACUAUUUUUAGUGAUUUGGAUAUUAGUUAUCUUUUUUGAAUAAAAUUUUAAGAGUCAAGUUUCUCUAUACAACUUUACUAUUUUAUUGUUUAAAGGGUUUUUAAGAAGUAAUAAACCCUAAUACUUUUGGUAAGCUGAAUCAUUUGUAUAAAGAAAGUAUCAUUGUUAACUUGAAUAUUUCAAAAGCUUAAACACCUAAAAAAUGUUAGACUGACAAAUAGACUCCUAAGUAACUAAAUGCUUUUCCUAUGGCCCUUUGAAUUACCCUAUCAUAAUAGAAAGUGAUUCAUCAUGCUAAAGAUAAUCGAGCCGUCUGCCAACCUAACACUACAUUCUGAACUUUUUCCACCGCUCUACUAUAUGUAUUUGUUAACAAGCAUAUGUAACAUAGGAACUCUAAAAUAUUACCCAAUAUUUUUUUGUUAAAGCAAACACUGAAAUGAAUUGAUAUCAAGAGCCACCCUUAAACGAAUAAAACAGUCUGGUUUUUAGCCACACUAACAUUUUUUUACCAAAAAGUUACAAAAGUCCUGUAUGAUAACUUUGAUUUGCUUCAAAUCAAGUUUUGCAAAAAAGAAUUAAGUCACCAACAAAUAUGGAUGACAACUUCACCUGACUCGUUUGCAAUCUAAUGUCAUUCAAUUCAAUUGGAUCAUAUUUUUGUCUAAUUUAUUUGAAAAACAAAUAAAAUUCAAUUCAAUUUGACUAAAGAUGGAUGCGUAGAUUAAUAAAUGGUUCACUUGACCCAUCACUUGACUCAACUUCUACAUGGUUUUUUAACCCUUUUAUAUUUUGUAAAGUUGUAAUUUAUAUUUCAAUAUAGUAUAUGGAUUUUUAUCUUAUUAAGGAUUGUUAUGGUUUUACAUAUAGAUAUAAAGUUUAGACUCUAUUUUAUUGUUUUAUGAUUUAUAGAUGGAUAUUUUUUUUUAAGCUUCAAUUUUAUUUUUUAAAUUUUGAUUAAAAAUAGAACAAUUGGAUCAAAUGAGAUACUUGUCGAAUGAAGAAAGUUCUUCAUCCACUCCAAUCUAAUCCAAUCGUAUAGAAGAUGAAGUCAAGUGCUGGAUUUAGAUAUCUCUGGUUAGAGACAAGAGAGCAAAAUUCAGUUGCAACCCAAUCUAUUAUUGUUUCUGUAAAUAACGAAAAGAUGAGAAAUAAUCGAACUUUUUUACUGAAAUAAACAAAUUCACUCUCUAGUCUCAACCGUAUUGGAUCAAUUUUUCUAUACAUGAAACAAAGGUAUAAGAAUAGAGGAUCUUCUUGUUGAAUACUUUGUGAUGAAGUAUAGGAAUUUGAAAUCUUAGCUUUCCAGCUCACUUAUAACAAAGUCAUUGUGAUACGCUUCAUGAUUAACGAAGUGAAACUAUCUAAAAUACCAUAUCCCUAAUAGCAUUUAGGAUCAAGUCCUACCUCAAACAAUCAUAAACCUUUUUUAGGUCUAUCUUAAUUAUCAUCAAAUAUUUUCUAAUUUUCUUUUAUACAUCUAGAGUUAAGAGCCAAUCAUAUAAUCAUAGUGGUAUUAUUGUGCUUCUUUGAAACAACACAUUGGUACUGACUAGCCAAUAUGUGCCAGUCAAGAGUAUUUGUUAUGAAACUCUGUGUAAACUUCUUAAUUGGUUAGCAUUCUUACUUCAAUGUAAUUAAUUUUUUACGUUCUGAAACUCUCAUAUGAAGCACAUCACGCAUUGCUUUCUUUAUACUUAACUUUUCUUAUAUGCAUGUCUUAUGUGAUAAGGAUAAGGAAAAUCUUCAAGUUUUCUAGUUUGUCGUGUUGGUAACAGACUAUUAACAUAUUUUACAAAAAUAAUGAUAAAGUUAUCUUCAGAUAACUUUUUCUACUCUAUCUGAAUUUAUCUUUUAAAUAACCUAAACUAAUCAGAUAAUUAGAGAGAAGAUAAUGCUAAUUAAUCUUGGUAAACUUCUAUCUUAGCCAAAUUAUCCUUUUACCAACCAUAAAAAGAUCACUAAUCUAAACUAAUAAAAUGACAAUUAUUACAAAGUUGAUCCUGCUAUUCUCUUAGGUCAUUAUCAGAAGGGGGAAAGUAAAGGUCUAAAGGCAAAAGGUCCAAACUUCUAUAUUUAAAAUUAGUUGAAAAUCACACCUUUUUUCUUUAUAAGUGGCAUGUUGAUGACAACUAUGUCACAUUUAGAAAGCAUUAAAUCUAGAUCCUCCUCAAACUUUUUACCUGUUAUAUUCUCCAACUCUUUCUCCAUCUUAAGUUUAUUAUGAUACAGUAGAGUGCAACUGAAAAGCUUCAAACGUUGGAGUAAAAGCCUUCUGAUGCGUCUAGCACCAAUAGUUCCCACCAUCUUACCUUCAAGAUUGUAAGCCCUGUAUGCAAUAGCUGCCACAUUCCACUCUUAUUGAUUGAUAACUUGAUGCUAUCUAAGUAAGAAAUUUUAUACAAGAACAAGGAUUCUCAUGAGCUCAUUUUUUGCAACUGAGACAACAUUGCUUCCUGUGACCUUUAUAGCAGUUAACCCAGCAAUAGCUACUACCUCCAAAUCUAUAUGAUCAGAACCAAUUCUAGUAAUGAGAAGCGCUUUUUUGCCCUCUUGAUCCUUUAUGCCGUAACAUCUGCGGGGUGGAAAGGUGUAGUGAUGAGGACAUGGAGAUCAAGAAUAUGCUUGUCAAGUUCUAUGACAAUUAUACAGUUGAAGAGCAAAAAAUCAACAAUCUAGCCAUCCUAAUAUUCUUGGAAAUAAAAGGCAUAAAUCUAAGAUCUUGAAAUCAUUUAAUGUCAUCACUACAAUUAGGACAUGGAGAUCAGCAGUUAAUCUUAUUGUUAAAGUAAAGGUCUAAAGGAAAAGGAUCCAAACUUCUAUAUUUAAAAUUAAUUGAAAAUCAUACCUUAUUUUCUUUGUAAGUGACAUGUUGAUGACAACAAUGUCAUAUUAAGAAAGCAUUAAAUCUAGAUCCUCCUUAAAAUUUGCCCAUGUCUGAUUCUCCAGCUCUGGCUCCAUCUUAAGUAUAUCAUGAUACAGUAAAGUGCAAUUAAAAGGCUUCAAACGUUGGAGUAAAAUCCUUUUGAUGCGUUAGCACCAACAGUUCCUACUAUCUUUCCUUUAAGAUUGUAAGCCUUGUAUGCAAUAACUGCCACAUUUCACUCCUUAUUGAUAACUUGAUGAUAUCCAGGUAAGAAAUUUCAUACAAGAACAAGGAUUCUCAUAAGCUCAUCUUAUGCAAUGGAGACAACAUUAAAAAGAGUGAAGCACUUAAUAACCUAUAUAUGCAGGAAUACAACUUCAACAAAGAACCUUAAUGCUUAAAAACAACACACUUACAAGCUUGUAGCUCCUCAUACUUUCAGCCUCGUGUGAAGAGAUGGACAAUGAUUGUCAAUGGUGAUCAUAUGCUAUAUUUCUAGCCUGUUGUUCAUAAUAAUUCUAUUAAGGAUUAAAUACUUGAUCAUCUUACAUCUUUUUAUGUGGAGGCCUACUUUAGUUUGUGUUAUGCCAGGUGUGUGUAAUGAGACAUAUAAUGAAUGUUGUGCAAAUAAAAUAUACACUCACUACAAUCCAACCAUUCUUUGUCAUCAGUUACAAUGAACUGGUGACCUUGUGAUUCCAGCCAGUCACCAAUGCCCAAAGCUCUUUCCAAGCAACCCACAAAAUUAGUGUUUGAUCAAAUUUUAAAAAUUAAAAAAAAAUUAAAACCUAUAGAGUAACAAUAAAAAUAUUAUUAAAAACAAAAACAUUAAACCUGGAGUUAAGGGGCUUCUUGGUCUUAGCCUUUUUAUAGAAGUUUUAUUUGUUUUUAAUUGCAUCAUUUAAUUUUAAUUUAUCAAAUAUUAUAUUCUCCAAUUUGGUGCUCAAUCUUUGGGUUUCAAAUUUUUUUACCUUGAACCUUUUGUAUAAGUUUUAUUAGUUUUCAAUUUCAUCUUUCAAUUUAAAUUAAUGGUAUUAUGUUUUCCAAUUUGGUCUUAUUAUUUUGAUUUCUAAUUUUUUUCUUAAUUGUUUUUGUAAAAGUUAUUAUUCUUUUUAAUUUCACUCUUCAAUCAAAACAUUCUUUUGAUUUUUUAUGUUAAUUUUUAUCCUCAUUCUUUAGAAUUUUUUUAUCCUUUUACUAAAUUGAUUUUUUUUUUCAAUCUCACCCUUCAAUCAAAUAUAAAUUUAUUUUAUAUUUUAAUUUUGAUCCUCAUUGUUUUAAUUAUUAUUUUUUAAUCUUUUUGUAUAAGAAAAAUGGUUUUCUAUAAAUAAGUACAUAGGAUAAUUUUAAUAAAUGAUUAAGUAAUCCAUUAAACAUGACGUGGUAAUAAAUAAGUAAAGAAUAUUGCAAGCACCAAGUUCUAAAAGUCCAUCUUUGAAGAAAAGAAAAAAAAUGAAAAAAUUCAGUUAGAACCAUAAUUAAGUCUCUAAGACAACUAUAUGCCCAUUAUUUAAUGUUUGACAAACAACACAUGUAGAAUAGACAACUAUAUGCCCGUAUUUUCAGUAUUUUCAUUUUUGUUGUGUAUUGCGGGGAAAAAAAAAAAAAAAAAGAACAUGGUCGGUCCGUCUUACAAGGAGAAGGGAAAGUGACCGCUGUCGGUGCUUUCGACGGGGGUUUUGAAAUUACCAGCACCAUCUUUGGACCUUCGAGAAGUCAACUUUCAUUUGAUUUUCGACUUUAUAAACGCGGCUAGCCCACCGAAUUUUAUUAGGGGAAAAGCCCAUUCCUAAGUUGCCAAUGCCAUUAGAUUCUGACUGAUGGCUCGCCUGUUUAAUAAUUUUUUAGUGGCUGACCGACCGAUCCUCGAAGCAGCGGAUCAUGCAAAGCGUCAAAUAACCAAAUGGAAACUGGGUGCUAACUAUAUUUCUGACUGCUAGUCAACUGUCUGUGUGCCCCUCAUUUACGUAUAAAUGAGCACGAGACCAGCUUCUUAUUCAUCAACAUCAAAUCAGUUAUCUCGAAAGCUUCUCUUUAUUUCACAGAGCACAGAGCCAACUCCUGAUUCAUCAAUAUCAUAUUAGUUCUCUCUAAAGCUUCCCUUUAAUUUACGGUUUUAAACCUUCUCUAGUUCUAGUUUGUGAGUAAAUUAAGAGAGACCAAAAAUGAGUGUGGAGAUUUUGGAUGGUGCCACCAUUGUCAACUUUCUGGAGGACGAGGAAGCAUUCAACGCGCAAAUAUGUGACCGCUUCGCCCACCUUGAUUCAGACCAUGAUGGCCGGCUUUCCUACGGGGAAAUGUUGAAGGAGCUGCAGUGUUUGAGGUUAUUGGAAACCCACUUCGGCGUGGAUGUGGAAACAGACCCGGAUGAGCUUGCUCUCGUCUAUGGUUCUCUUUUUGUCCAAUUUGAUCAUGACUUGAAUGGGACAGUGGAGUUAGAAGAGUUCAAGUCAGAGACCAAGCAAAUGAUGCUAGCCAUGGCCACUGGUAUGGGUUUCUUGCCUGUUCAGAUGGUCCUGGAAGAAGACAGUUUCCUGAAGAAGGCUGUGGAGUGGGAAUCUACUAAACUCGUUGCCUGACUAAUUCCACAUCCAUUACCCUAUACAUGACUCAUUAAUUGUCUUCGUUAUUUCUUUCUUCUCCGAAUGCAUUCCAAGUUUAGCUGAAUGUAGCAAAGAAAAUAAAUGAAAUGCUCUGUUAUUGGUGCAAUUUGGCAUCUUAAAACUCGGUUCUCUCCUAAUGCAAUUUGGUCAUGACCAUCCAGCCAUAGUUAAUAUAACGAAAGGCUGACAGAAACACGAAUAUCUUUCCUCUUUCAAGAGGGCUUCAUCAACUAAUAGAUACAUGGGCAGAAGGAUUGAGCUGGAUGCAUCUCAGUCAUCGUUCAAAAUUUAGCUUCAAGGGAAUGGAAUUGGUAGAACAGAGUUGCAUCAGAAUGGAAAAAGAACUUGCGUGUGUCAGGUCCAGGGGAACAGAUAAAAAUUAAAGAAAUAACUGUCCUCGUAUAAAGUAUAGUUAAAUAAAAAUUUCGAGUCGAAUCUGUUGUGCGUCUGAAAACCUAAUUCCAUCAUGAUUUGUUUAGCAUGCGUAUGAAACAAACUUCCCGCAUUGAAAAGAGGGAAGCAAUUAUUUAAAACGGUAGAGAUUGCGUUUCAAUCAAAACGCAGGAGCCAAGCGUUUGGUAAUAUCAAAAACGCUAAAAAUGACCGGUGGGACCCAUGCCAAUUCAUGUUUUAAACGCGACAUUCGCGAAGCAGCUCUAGGCUGCUUUUUGAAAUUUUGUAUUCGCGUGCACAGUGCAAUUCACUUGCACUGUUCGGGUGAUUUUUUUUUAUUUUUUUUUUAGUGUGUAUAGUUUUUGUAUAUAUUUUUUUUUAAAAAAACUAGUUUUACAUUGUCAUGUAAACAAUAUUUUUUUUUCCUGAAAAACUAGUAUAGAGCGAAUUAAAUUCACUCGCACUGUAAUAUCAAAUUAAUUUUAUUCAUGAUAAUAUUUUAUCUAAUUUUAUUGCAAGCUCAAAAAAUUAUAGAAACUGUAGUUCUUGUCGAAUGAAUUUUGUACGUAAUGGAAUUGUAGAUGGUUUAAUGGCAUAAUAAAAAAUAUUUUAUAUAAAGUAUUAUUUAUUUCAUGAAGUAAUAGUAAUGGUUAAAUCUACAAUAUUUAAAUUAAAAAUCAUCAAUUUUAAUAUGUAUAUUUUAAUUAUUUUAUAAUCUCAAUUUGAAAAGUAUUUUUUUAACCAAACACAUUAAACUACUUUUUCUUCAACCUCAAUUUCAACCACAGUUUUAACCAAACACCUAUUUUUUCAAACCAACCUCAACUAAAAGUACUUUUUAUAAAACAACUUUUUUCAAAUCACAACCACAAAAGCUACCGCAAUACCAAACACACACUUAAUAUCCUAUAUAUGCAAAAACGCAACUUGAACGAAGAACCUGGAUGGUUAAAAACAACACACUUGCAGGCUUGUAGCUCCUGAUAUUUUCAGCCUCGUGUGAAGAUGGACAAUGAUGGUUGAAAAAUCUUUGUAUGUUUUAUCUAGGUAGAUUACUCAUAAUAAUAAGAUUAUUUUUAAAAAAUCUUUGUCUUUUUUACCUGGGUAGCUCAUCCAUUGUAAUAAGACUACUCGAAAAAAAUCUUUGUAUUUCUCUACUUGAAUAGGUCACCCAUUACAAUAAAACUACUUUGAAAAGACCUUUGAGUUUUUCAUUUGGGUGGGUCACCCAUGAUAAAUUGAACAUUUCAGAAUCUUUGAAUUCUACCAAUAGACAGGUUGCUUGGUACUACCAUAUCACUUCAAAAGUCUUUCACAAAGAUAAUCUUUUUCUUUAGAAACUCUAUCUCCUUUUUUUUCGAGUACACUUUCUAACCCUCAUUCUUCAGAUAGUGUGCUUUUUAUCCCUAUCUAUUUUUUUCUGAGUGCACUUUUAAGCCCUUACUACAAACAUUUUCAGAAAGAUUGACCAUUUCUUAAUAUGGUGAGUCCAUAAUCUCGUUCUUUUUCUUCAUCUUUACAAAACUUAUUGUCUAAAGUCUCUCACGAGACUUUCGUUAUAAAGAUUGUAAAGAGAGAGGCAACUGUCAUAACUCAUUUCUGGAUUAUUCCCUAAAUUCACAUUUUUUUUCUUUCCAAAAUAAAAGUCAAAAAAGAAAAUAAAGAAAGCAAGAAAACUAGCGACAUAUAGGAAUAUUAAGUUGUGACUUUGGAAGCCUAAUUGUAUCCUAUUUUACCCACAACUGGAGAGACAAUGUAAAUUAAAGGUCAAAUUAAAUGAUUAUUGGAUGAAUCUACUUAAAAAUUAAGCUUGAGGAUAUAAUUAGAAUUUUAAUAGGCCAAUUUGAUUUAAUCAUGGGCCAAAUUGAGAAUUUAAUUAUGUUUAAGAAUUAAUUUGGGUAAUUAAAGGAUUUAAUGAGGUGCAAGAACUUAAUUAUACUUUAAAUAGGUCAAAUUAAUUUUAUUAAGGGCUUAAUUGAUGAAAAUCUAAGUUUAGAAGCCCAAUUUGAGCUUAAUUGAGAAAAUUGGAAUUUUAGAAAACCAAAUAUAAUUUCCUUAAAGUCAAUUGGUUCAAAUUAGGGGUAAAAUCGCAAGAAAAACAAAUUUUUUUGGUCAAUUAAGGGUUAAAUUGAAGAGAUUUGCAACUAAGGACCAUUUUGCAAAACAUAUCGAACUAUGGGGUAAUUCAUGAAAAUCAGGGAUGAAAUUGAAGAAAAUUUAAAGUUUGAUGGUCAAAUUGCAUAAAUCCAAGACCAAGGAUCAAAUUGAAAAAGAUGCUAAAAUUCAGGGCUGAUAUUGAAAUCCAGCAAGGGCAAAAUUGUAUUAAAUCAAAAGUUUGGAGUCAAUUAGGGGUCAAAUUGAAAGAAAUCAAAAGCUGAAGGACCAAAUUGAACUUUGGAAAACUACCUUAAUUUAAGGUCCAAAAUGGAUUUGUUUUUUAACAUUAAAAAAAAAAGGCAACCAGACGACGCAUCGUCUAGUUAAUGUCCAUUGUCUUCUUCUUCUGACCCGAAAACGUUGUUUGGAUGGCUAUUUUUCAUGGGCAUUUAAUACUUCAUCUCUCAAUCAAACCGGACAAACCAUACACCACCAUGAUGAGCUGACAUUAUACUUCACCCCAGAGUGGAUCUCGCCGGCUAAUUAUCCCUACAGCCGCCACAGUGUCGCCUCAAAUUGGUCAAUCUAACUAACAUUUAGCAACCAGCUUUUUCAGGUCAUGAUAACAACUUUGAACCAACGGUUAAGAUCCUUCUGUGUCGAAUCAAGAGCCAAGAUUGGCACUAGUAAAGACAAGAUGUCCAUCUUCCAUGCCCCGAGCAUCAAGAAAUUAGAGCCCAAAUUUGGUGCAAAUAAGUUUUUCUUACCAGAUCUUUUGUUCUUCUCCACCAGCCAUCUUCUUCCUCUUCUUUCGCAACAUCUUCGCUUCUUUCGCAACAUCUUCGCUUCCAGCAAUGCUGCCAACAACACGUUGGCCUUCCUAGCAUUGCUAAUUAGCAAUCCCCCAUAGUUGGUAACCUUUUCUUCCCCUUUUUGGAUGCAAACGAGGCAGCCAUUUGUAAGCAUAACAUUUGGUUCUGCAUGCAAAAUUCAACCACUUCAUAUGGUCAUUGGGUCGGGCCAAUGACCAUGUGAAGAUAGGUUGGACCCCUUCCAACCCAACCCAUGAUGGCUUGGUUAAGUACAGCCCAUAAAAAAGGAUGAAGGCCAGGUCUGUUGGGCUGCCUGGCGCCACGACCUGACCCGGCAAGGUCCGGCCCAAAUGGCUGGGUAGGGCCCAGCCCAAUAUAUAUAAUAAUAAUAUUAAAAUAAAAAUAAAAACUUUGAAAGCCCUUCCAAAAAAUUUGUGAUUUUCUCGCACGUUUUUCUAUCAAUUUUGCAUAAUAUCGGGCUGUAUAAUUACACUAUAUGAUACAUAUCCGAUAUUAAAACACCUAGUUUUUUCUGAAACAUUUCAAAAUAAAAUUCAAAAUUUUUUAAAUUAAUUUCCUCUUUCAAAAAAACAAAAAAUGUUUUGUUUUCAUGCAUAUAGUCAAAUCCUCAAAGUUUUCCAAGCAUGUUUUCAAAAAAAAAAAACAAAAAAUUGUAUUUUUCUCAUGUUUUAAAAUAUAAAAUAGAUAUCAUAACUAAUUUAUAAUUAUCCAUUAGGGUUUAACCAAAAUGUCAAAAACCCUUCACCAAUUAUUUUUUUCAUUUUAUAUUAUGGUUUAAAUGUAGACUUAAAUAUUUGGGGGCGUAAAACUAUACAGUAGAGUAUACCCUCAGGUAUUAAAGACAAAAGUUCAAUAUAAAUGCGAUACUAAAAUUUAGACUUUAGAACGGUUGGAUUUAACAUCAUAAGGUAUAGAUUUUGUCAUGAAGAGAGAUCUAUCUUAAACCUUAGACGAUUUCAACGAAUAGAAACUUAACUUAGAAUAACAAUCAAAAAACAAUGUACCUUACUUCAGGUAGGCUGCACUGGAGAUAAUGCGUCUUUUCCUUACACAAUCAGUCUCUUACUCAGACUCUCACAGACUAUAUGUUUCCUAGUAACCAUUAUAUUAAAUGGUGACUCUUAAAUCUUAAUUAUAAUUUUAUGCUUACAUCAAAAACUCUUUUUUUUUCUAACAAUACCUUUCAAGAGGCACUUAAAACGCGUCGUUUGACGUCGCCUGUGACAUAAUCCAUUAAACAUGAAAUGGAAAUAAAUAAGUAAAGAAUAUUGCAAGCAUCAAGUUGUCUAUCUCCGAAAAAAAAAAAGAAGAAGAAAAAUUUUGGAACCUUAAUUAAGUUUGUUUAAAUCUCUAUCACACCCAUUAUUUAAUGUUUGACAAACAACACAUGUAGAAUAGGUGAAACCAAACCUACAGUACAAUAUUUGCAUUUUUGUUGUGUUGUGAGAAAAAAAGAAAAGAAAAAGAACAUGGUCUGUCUCGGAAGGAGAAGGGAAAUUGACCGUUGUCGCUGCUUUUGACAGGGGGUUUGAAAUUAGCAACACCAUCUUGGGACCUUCGAGCAAGUCAACUUUCAUUUAAUUUUCGACUUUAUAAACACGGCUAGCCCACCGAAUUUUAUUAGGGGAAAAGCCCGUUCCCAAGUUGCCAUUGCCAUUAGAUUAUGACUUAUGGCUCACCUGUUUAAGAUAGUUCUAAUAAUAAAAUUUUAGUGGCUGACCGACCGAUCCUCGAAGCAGCAGAUUCUGCAAAGCGUCAAAAAACCAUGCAGCAAAGGGUAAUUAGAAGCAAGUCAGAAAAGCAAAAACCAAAUGGAAACCGGGUGCUGACUGCUCGUCAACUGUCUGUGUGCCCCUCAUUUACGUAUAAAUAAGCACAAGACCAACUUCUUAUUCAUCAACAUCAAAUCAGUUAUCUCGGAAAGCUUCUCUUUAUUUCACAGAGCACAGAGCCAACUCCUGAUUCAUCAAUAUCAUAUUAGUUCUCUCUAAAGCUUCCCUUUAAUUUACGGUUUUAAACCUUCUCUAGUUCUAGUUUGUGAGUAAAUUAAGAGAGACCAAAAAUGAGUGUGGAGAUUUUGGAUGGUGCCACCAUUGUCAACUUUCUGGAGGACGAGGAAGCAUUCAACGCGCAAAUAUGUGACCGCUUCGCCCACCUUGAUUCAGACCAUGAUGGACGGCUUUCCUACGGGGAAAUGUUGAAGGAGCUGCAGUGUUUGAGGUUAUUGGAAACCCACUUCGGCGUGGAUGUGGAA